UCCCUGGUGGCCUAGCGGUUAAGGACCUGGCAUUGCCACUGCUGUGGCGCAGGUUCGAUCCCUGGCCCAGGAA
rfam:Sus scrofa chromosome 11.